UUGGAGGAGAUUCCGGAGAGUAUUGGAGAUAUAAUGACACUAAAAUUGAUCAAAAUAGAUAAUUGCAGCUCUUCUGUAGAUAAUAGUGCUAAGAGAAUUCAAGAAGAGCAAGAGAGCUUGGGAAAUUAUGAGCUUCAAGUUCGAAUUACUCCAAAGGAAUGAAGAAUGAAGAAAGAGAAGGGUACUUGAAGGAAGCUGGUGAUGAUUAUACUGCUUCUCAUUAUAUACUUCCACAUCUUCUCAAUUUAUAUUCAUCGCGAGCCAAGGCACAAG